CUACAUGAAGCUGGAAUCGCUAGUAAUCGCGGAUCAGAAUGCCGCGGUGAAUACGUUCCCGGGUCUUGUACACACCGCCCGUCACACCAUGGGAGUCGGAAAUGCCCGAAGUCUGUGACCCAACCAUUAAGGAGGGAGCACGCCGAAGGCAGGUCGGAUGACUGGGGUGAAGUCGUAACAAGGUACC
rnacentral:rRNA from 1 species